rnacentral:rRNA from 1 species
UACGAAGGGUGCAAGCGUUACUCGGAAUCACUGGGCGUAAAGCGUGCGUAGGCGGUUCGUUAAGUCUGCUGUGAAAGCCCUGGGCUCAACCUGGGAACUGCAGUGGAUACUGGCGGACUAGAGUGUGAUAGAGGAUGGUGGAAUUCCCGGUGUAGCGGUGAAAUGCGUAGAGAUCGGGAGGAACACCGGUGGCGAAGGCGGCUCUCUGGACCGUAACUGACGCUGAGGCGCGAAAGCGUGGGGAGCAAACAGGG